UACGGAGGGUGCAAUCGUUAUCCGGAAUUACUGGGUUUAAAGGGUGCGUAGGCUGCUGUAUAAGUCAGUGGUGAAAGUUUGUCGCUUAACGAUAGAAUUGCCUUUGAUACUGUCUAGCUUGAAAUUAGGUGAGGUUGGCGGAAUGUGACAUGUAGCGGUGAAAUGCAUAGAUAUGUCAUAGAACACCGAUUGCGAAGGCAGCUGGCUAACCUAAAUUUGACGCUGAGGCACGAAAGCGUGGGCAGCAAACAGG
rnacentral:rRNA from 1 species